UUCAGGAAAGAGAACUCUUCUUUUAUUGUUUUCAAGAAAGAACACUUUCUUUUCCUCAUAUUAAUGGGCACUAGUUAGUUUCGUACACAGAAAACUAGAGACAGUGGAGCGCACUAAAGCAAGUUCGCCAAACCUAGUGUUGAAACUGCUGCCUGUUUCCCAUUGUUGUCUGUAAUAGUCCAAACAUUGUGUUGGUUGCAUCUACUGCAAAUUUAUGUCAUAUAACAGUGAAUAGCUAAUUCUUAACUAUAAAUACAACUGAACAUUGGUAGCCCUAUAACAUUUUUUAAUGAAAAAUUGUUACAUCUUUCCAACAUUUCUGCUGUAGCAAAUAAUCGAUACAAAUCACAAAGCUGGUGCAUAAGUCACUGGCACUGUGAAUUAUGACAGAAAAUAAUCUGCUCACAUCUCUCUGCAUACCGUGACCAAAAUCAUUUUCCUUUAUUCCACCUUUGCAUUCAAGACAAAGCAGGACUCAAGAAAAUGUUGAAAAAAUUACAUCUAUGACAUUAAUUUGAUGUAAAGAUAAAUAAAAACACAAAAUGGAGGUGAGAGAGAUGAAAAGUUAAGGCUGAUUACAAAAAAAUGGGAUAUUUGGCGUCUCAUUGAGUAUUUUGCGGGACAACAGGAAGCAGAAGAAAAAGAGAGAGAGAGAUCCCUUAACAAUGGGGCAUUUGGUCAUCCUACCAUACAUAACCCUGUUCCGUUUAUCUCAAUUAUUAACUGUUUCUUAAUGAUAACCAAAAGUUAUGUUGGCCAGUAUUAAAAAUUUUAUAAUUCAAAAACGGUAAAUGAUCUGUAAGAUUUUCUAUCACAAAUUGACAGAAUGAAAAUAUGCAUCAGUUGAGCAUGCCAAACAUAUAUUUCAUAUGUUUUAAGUCGUGUUUUUUGAUAAUUGGUGUAAGUGCAUAUGUGUUAGAUCAUGUUUAAUUAAUUAAGUCUCUGCUGUUUUAUGUACCAUGUCAUGUUUGGCCUUUAUGGGAGCAUAAAUAAAUGUUCUUUAAUUUAAACCAUACAUCUAACCUGUACCUUUAUUAUAAGGGAAAUGGUGGUCUAUUUCAUAGAUUUUUGGAAAUCAUGCCAUCAUUCGCAUGAUUGGCAAGGCUCUCAGAGAUGCCGAUUUGUGGAGGUUGGAUUUCUGGAGGAGGUACCGAGUGGAAGCUAUACAAUGAACUUUGUGUUGAUAUCUUAGAGAGGAGAGACGUGAUGUUGCAGAGCAGUUAGUCCGAUGAAGUGAAAUUUUUUGGGUGACUGUCUGACUGUUGUGCAGAUUAAAACUGUUUUAAUCUGCCAGCAAGUUUCAUACCAGUGCACAAUCCGCUGCAGAGUGAAAAUCUCAUUCUUGUGAUGAGUUAUUGAUUUGUAGUGUCUACUACUAUUCUGAUCACACAGAUUUACACAUUCUUAACUGCAGUUGAAUAUUACCAGAUCAUAUCUUUUAAACAUAAUUACUGUAAGACUACCAUUUCUCUAUAGUCUUUCAUGUGACUGAUUGAGUAAAUUAUCACUUUAUUCAACAUAAAUUUGUGGUGUUGCCUACAAUUUCUUAUCAUCAGAUAAAAACCGUUUAUGCCAUUUAUUAUUAUUCACUUAACAGCAGUUUGUUUUUGUUUAUAAUUUAGCUUAACUUGCCCAUGCUUUAGCUAUUUGAGAGGGAGGAUCAUAAUCUGUGACUGCUACUUUAGCUGUCUUAGCUAAUGGGCAUAAAAGCAGAUGUGCACUGCUCAACGUCGAGCCACAUAUUGUGAACAGAGCCCUGCAUAGUCUAAAUACCAACUGACCACCACCCCCUUCAUUUAGUAUGUUGAAAAUAUGGUUUCCUAUCAGAUAAUCUGAUAAGGAAAUCUACCAAUAUUCCCUAAUUUUGGCAUGUUGCAUAUUAAAUAGGCGUAUGAGAGCUACAGUUACUACAGAGUGCAUUAUAACUAUCAUAUUACAUCACAUUUAAUUUUAGAAGUGUGCAGUGUAUUCAUUAAUUGUAAAUUUCUGUUAUUUUUGAAUUUGUAAGUGGCCGUAACCUAAAAACAGUUCAAAGUCAGUAAAUUUUAUCCCAGUUUUCUUCUCUUCCCUUAAAAAACCCCCACAUUGUUGGGUAUUAACCACUUCAGUUGUUAAUGGGAACUUAUAAUCUAUCUGUAUCCAACUUCAUCCUAUUUUCCCUUUUAAAUUUCUAAGCUACCUACCUGAUUAAGGGACCUAACAUUCUAUGUUGCAAUGUGUAGAAUGGCAGUUUAGUUUUUCUUGGUGACGGCAUAUUCUCAGUUGUCCCCACCUGGAGUUCCGAAUGGGAGACACUUUUACUUUCAGAAUAUUUUAUGCAAGAGGCUGCAGUCAUCAUUUGAUCAUACAGAAAAGCUGCUUUCUCUUGGCAAAAAUAACAGUUGUUAAAUCUCUUAGCUUUCAACGAUUCGCAGUACCUGCAGAGCAGGCCAUGUUAGCAAAUGUUGCAAGACCACAGAAAUCAAUCAUCCAGAUUGUUGACGCUGCAACUACUGAAAAAGCUGCUGCCCCUCUUCAGGAACAAUAGAUUUAUUGUGACAACACUUCAUCAAAUACCAUCUAUGACACAGAAUGCGAAGAUGGCCACUGUAUGGUCAAAACUGGUGUUGAUCGUUUUUACAUUAUACGUAUGAUUGUGUUUAAAAUAUUAAAGACAUUGUGGCUUACAACCUUAUGACUUAAUAAAACUGCAUAAACAUUCAAAACUGACCCUCUAACUUUAAUAAAUUUGGAAUAUGACAGUGUUGUCCAGAUCUGUAGUCAAACUAACAUAUAAUUAGUAUGUGUAUAGAAGUAAUUUUAUUGCAAUCUUUGGCAGAGUUCUUUAGUUCAGUCUUGAUCCCAUUUGGUUAAAAUUGGUUUAUUUUUACUCAUAGUUUUGUGAAGAAAGAAGCAUUCCAAAUUUUCUAUGAACAAGAGAUAAAUAUCUUUACAACAUCUGAAGUUGAAGUACAAUAAAUAAAACUAUGAAUUCAUUGAAUCUUGCUGGAUGGAAGAUGUUUCUGACAUGUGUUCCCAACUCUGGCCUUAUCCAAAUUCUCAUUUUAGUGAGCAAGUAUCAAGUAUUUACACUUAAUCAAUUUGAGAGAGAGUGCAACAUGCCAUCUAUACCAAAUACAAAAAUCUAAUUCUACAAGAUAUUAAAUGAUUUUAA